rnacentral:rRNA from 1 species
AUGAGAGGAGAGGCGCUCGGGCCAAGCGCGGGUGCGAGGGCUGCUGCGGGAGCCGCUCAGGAUCGAGAGGGAGAGAGUGAGAUGGGGAUCGAGAAGCAGCACUGCUCUCUCCCUGGUGCGAAGCGUGAGGCGGCGGGAUGGAGGAAACGAGAGAGAGAAAGGGAUCGAGCAGGGGAUGAGGCUAGGGUUCGGGAGGGAGUGGGCCUUGGGCCUAAGUGGCCUGCGGCUACAGGAGGCCCAAGAGGCAAGGCUGGGCUCCCUCUCUUAACCUCUCUUCUCAAAAGAAAAAAAAGAAAAAAGAAAAAACAGUACAUAGAUAAGAAAGAAAAGAAAGGGAGGUUAGGGGAAGGAGUUGGGCACGCGGACAAUUUUUCCGGAGCCACAAGAAUACGAGGAAUUUGA